rnacentral:precursor_RNA from 1 species
CCAAUUUUUACCAAAGACACCUUGCAAUUUUAACCAAAUAUUUAUUAAAUUUCAUUGCUCCAUCGUUCCGUAAUUUUAUCCAAAUAUUUUUUAAAUUUCGUUGCUCCACCGUUCCAAUUUUUACCAAAUGCACCUUGCAAUUUUAUCCAAAUAUUUUUUUAAAAAUUUCGUUGCUCCACCGUUCCGUACCAUUUAAACAUCAUGCAAAUAUAUUCUUUUUAGUAAACCAUCAUGCAUAUAUAUUCCUUUUAGUAAAUUUCACAAAACUAUAUAUACGUUUUAUCGAACUAUCAAAAAACUACAGAUUUAAAACAUUGUAUCACAUAUAACACUAAAUUUAUCACAAGAUUUGAUAUAUAUUGAAGUUAUGAUAAAACUAUAGAUUUUAUAGUUCAGAUCUCUAGCAUUGAUGUCAUAUAGGGCUAUAAGUGUUAUAGUUUUGUGAUUAAAUGGAUUCGAAGCCAGUAGAUUUGUGAUAAGAUUUUUUUUAUUAAAUCUGUAAUUUUAUGAUACUUGAACUUAAAUCUAUUGUUUAAAUUUGUAGUUUUGUGAUAUAACAUUUUAAAUCUGUAUCUUUACUAUUUGUAG